UGCUUCCACUUCCUCUUGCCUUGGAAUUAUGCCGUUUUCAAUUAACUCGCUCCUUGCUCCAAAACUCUCAUUUCACAACUGAGGCGAAGAAGGGAUCUAUAAAAUGAAGCUUUUUUCCCUCCGAAAGAAAUCCUGGGAAAGAGGUAGAGCUGAAAGUGGUGCCUCCUCAAGAAUCGUUUGGCUUGAUGUUGAUAUUGCAACUCAUAUACAAUCAAGGAAGAUGGACCUAAGAGGAGCUUACUUUAUAUAGAGACAGCUGAUAGGCCUGGAUUACUGGUAGAAAUCAUCAAAAUUAUUGCUGAUCUCAACAUUGAUGUAGAAUCAGCAGAGAGUGACGCAGAACAGAGACGUGCAUAAAAAAUCAUCAAUUCAUGAAGUGGAUGUGAGAAUCAUUGGGGGAUUUCUACAACAAUGGAAACUAUACAGAGCACUUUCAUGGUGAGGAAGAUCGGGUUUCUUCCACUUGCUUGAAAGCAUUUUAACCCCAAAAGAUAGUGAGAAUGCUUGCUUGUCUUCAAGUGAAAUUGGUUGUUGUGCUCCAAGGGUAAUGAUUGGAAAUGAAGAUCAUGUUAGCCAACCACUCUGUUUAUGUCUCUUGUUAGUGCAAUGCUUCAGUUAGUGCUGCCUUUGCAUAUAUUCUUUGCCAUUUAUAUUCUUGGUUCUGUUAUAUCUAAAUAGGCUUUUAAAAAAUUCUGUUUUGAAGAUUCAUGUUGUUAAUUUUUUUUUUUUAUGUGAUACAAAUUUAAAAUAUUAGGCAUUGAUGCCUAUGACAGCCUGGAUCAUAUUGAUCUCAAUUUCAAGGCUGGAUGGAAUGAUAUACUUACGAUGAACCAGAAAACAAGCUUGAAUCUGAAAUAAGAAGAUUUUUUGGGGAUUCAACUCUUCACCCUAGAGAACUGGUGAAAGUCCAAAUUAUGAAGAUUUACUUGAAUGUUCUCCGUUAUUUCAUGGUUCGGAGAAACGAGUGUUUGUGAGAAAGCAGCAUGAAAGAAAUUGCAAACUCUCUGCAGUUUGCUGUGGCAAGUUAUUUACAUGCAGAUUCUGCCAUGAUGUCAGUGACAUUUAAUGGAUACGUAAGUGGACUUGUGUUUGCUUGAUUGUGAGUGGACUUCUGUAGAUAAUGUUUUUAAUAUCAAUAUUCAUUUGCAGGAAAGCUACGGCUAAAAUAUUGUGUAUGCAGUGCUUGAAAAUUCAGCCUGUUGGGCCAGGUUGCAGUAUUUGCAAAUUGUGUAUGCAGUACUAUCGAUAGAGUAAUAUUGUGUAUGCAGUACACAA